rnacentral:rRNA from 1 species
CCUACGGGCGGCAGCAGUGAGGAAUAUUGGUCAAUGGGCGCGAGCCUGAACCAGCCAAGUAGCGUGAAGGAUGACUGCCCUACGGGUUGUAAACUUCUUUUAUAAAGGAAUAAAGUGAGGCACGUGUGCCUUUUUGUAUGUACUUUAUGAAUAAGGAUCGGCUAACUCCGUGCACGCAGCAGCGGUAAUACGGGGGUUCGGGGGGUUUUCCGGAUUUAUUGGGUUUAAAGGGAGCGGAGAUGGGUUGUUAAGUAAGUUGUGAAAGUGUGCGGCUCAACCGUAAAAUUGCAUUUGAUACUGGCAGUCUUGAGUACAGUUGAGGUAGGCGGAAUUCGUGGUGUAGCGGUGAAAUGCUUAGAUAUCACGAAGAACUCCGAUUGCGAAGGCAGCUUACUAAACUGCCACUGACAUUGAUGCUCGAAAGUGUGGGUAUCAAACAGGAUUAGAUACCCGUGUAGUC